UUCCGUUCCUUUUCCUGCGCCAGGACACUCCUUGGGAAGAAGGGCAUGCUUCCCAGUCUUCCAGGAGCAAGUCCUCCAGGGCUCAAGGAAGAAAAGGACACGCUGGCUGAGUGACGGGGGGAUCUGAGAUGCGGAUUCUAACUCCCAGAUUGAGUCUAAAAAUGUGCGAGAGGGAGGCCCCUUCCCAAGAGAAACAACCAAACCAACUCACGAGGAGAGCCGGCCAGAGCUUGGAGACCCAGACACGGGGGCGGAGCGGGGGCGGGGCUGGGAGCUCAGACCCCGCCCCCGGAAGCCUACAGCGCUUCCCCGCCCGCGCUAAGGUCUCACAGACACACGCACGCCGGAAUGCACGCACGCACGUUGGGGGCUGAACCGGUAGCAGUACGCAGGCGCACACGGGCCGCGCGCUUUUCGGAAGCCGCAGGUCGGCGGGCUUGGGAGGCUAAGGCCGCGGUGCGGCGCGGGGCCGGGAAGGCUGAAGAGCGAGUGGCUGCACGUGCGGGCAGGCCGACCCGGGAGUGUGGUGUCGCGGCUGAUAAAACUGAAGGCCCAGCAAUAGGAAGAAGCCAGCAUGACAUUGUUCCUCUGAUUGUCCUUAGAGACCAGAUUUAUACCCUUCUGCUUGACUUGGUUUGUUUUGCUUUACUUGUCUCUAGUUCCAUUGUUUUCCAUGUUGCCGCCACUGUCUUUGAUCUUCCUGCAUUUAAUGUUUGUGGUGGUUCUGGGGAGAGUGACCUAUUAACUGACUAAGCCCAGGGCCCUGACAGGACCCAAGACUUUCCAGAGGCUGGUCCUCAGAAUGCCCAGCCACCUUUGGUCACUACCACCACCCUCUAAACCUUGUGAAUGUUUUUCCUAUUCACAGGGAAAAUUGUUAUAUAACUAAAACAGUUCAAGCCAUCAGUUCAGUUCAGUUCAGUCGCUCAGUCAUGUCCGACUCUUUGAGACCCCAUGAAUCGCAGCGCAUCAGGCCUCCCUGUCCAUCACCAAGUCCUGGAGUUUACUCAGCCUCAUGUCCAUCGAGUCAGUGAUGCCAUAACAGAGCAUUAUUAACUCUUUAAUCUUUUAUAUCUUGAGUGUUUGAAAGCUAUGGUUAAAUAGAUGUUUCCACUAUAAACAGCCUUUCCUUAUAAAUUUACUUUAUAAAUAAAAAGUCCAGUGUGCCUUCCUUAAGACGGGCAAAGAUUUUAAAAGUAUGUUUAAAGUGUUAUGUCUUUGCUUCCUUCUAAACUGAAUUUUUUUCACCU
rnacentral:lncRNA from 1 species